AAAUUACAAUUUAACUCCAAACCACAUGUUUAAAUGAAAUGUUUUAUUAAUUGUAUGUAUAGAUCGGACACACACUGCGUAGAGCCCAGCCCAACAUAGUAAGACAAGCCCUGGACUGGAAUCCUUGAGGCACAAGGAGAAGAAGAAGGCUCACAAAAAUCUUGGCGCAGGACUCUGGAUAUUGAGCUCUGUAAAACGAAGAUGUCAUGGGAAGAGGCCAAAGCCUGGGCCAUGGACCGGACUAGAUGGAGAGCUGUUGUGAAGGCCCUAUGCUCCCAUUGGAGUGAAGAGAAUUAAAUGAUGAAAUGUGCAAAGUAACAGAACAGCAGAAUGACUACAGAUGUAAAGACGUGCAAAUGUUUGUUCUAUGAGGGAAUUGGUGCACACCACAGAAUGAGGGUAGUCGGACAGUAUGAAAACAGUAAAGAAGAAUGUUUACAGACCUGCCAUAAAAAGAUGCAAGUAGUAUUGGGGGAACACUGUGGAUGUUUGGAUUUCAUGGUAUUUAGUGGAGAAUGGUGUAGAUUGUCUACUGUUCAACCUGCUUGUACUUGGAUAUCUGAUGGACAAGACUGGAUUUGUGUGGAGGAAAUCCCUAACUUACAUUUAUCUGAUUGAGACAGUGCCUUUAAUGAUGAAAGCUACGAAUGGAAGGACUUCAAAGAGUUGGACCAUCAGAUCUUCAGUUUUCCAAAGAACAUUCCAGUAUUUACUGCCGCUGGACAAGGGAAGACAACUUGGUGACAUGCAGUCCUACAACCCAGAAAGAAGUCCAGACAUUUGUCCAGACAUUAUUUAUAAAGACAUUGUGGAUUAGAGUGUAACAGACAUUGUGGAUUAGAGUGUAGCAGACAUGGUGGAUUAGAAUUUUACAGACAUUGUGGAUUAGAAUUUUACAGACAUUUUGGAUUAGAGUGUAACAGACAGUGUGGAUUAGAAUGUUACAGACAUUGUAGAUUAGAAGAUCCAGCCUGGUCAGACCCUGAUAAUUUUGUUUGGUUUCUCAACAUCCAGCUGCUAGGUUUUUAAAACAACAUGUUUGUUAGUGCUGCCCCUGCAGAAGAUCUUCCAGGCUUUUCCACAUUUGUUCUGAGAUUCCUGAUGUAGAUGUCAUGGGCGAUGAAUUCCAAGUAGGAAAUUAGGAUCGUACAACCAGUCAGCAGCUACCCAUAAACCAGACCAACCUAUUAAGUCGAGUCGGCAGAAGCUGUGAUUCCCAGUGUAACACCGUAGAAUGACGGCUAGUUUUCGGACUACAUUUCUGUGCGGAAGGAUUAAAAAACUACACCAGACUGGCGGCCAUGACAGAUGUCAGUGGGAAAUUUAAACAUGGACUAGAUACUUUGUUGUGUAGCAAAAAAGUUCAUCGUUGAUGGUGCACUGGUGUUUUUCUGUGAUAUAUUGACUUGGAUAGUAUUACUCUUCAGAAAUAUAGAGCUGUCAAUGCUGCAAUUUUGUUGUGAAAUUCACAAUCCAUGUCCAAAAGUGCUUGUUUUACUAUACAGCAAAGGAGAAAUUGUACUGGGCCGACACCAUAACCAGUUACAGAGAAUAGUUCUGAUCGAGCGGAUAAACUAUAUACAAGCAUUAUCUCAACAGUGGAAUACUUACCUUAGAUAAAUCAUGAUGUGAUGUAACAUUUAUUGCUGUGAACCAUCUCGGGAGAGAGUACACCCUGUAUGAGAAUAAUAAUAAUCAACUCAAUGUGUAGAGUAAUUACUUGAACAAUUACUGUGUUUACCACCAUAACUAGGAACAUCAGCCGGACUUCACCAACCCACCAAGCUUCCUUUAAGAAUAUGAAACUCAGGGUCAAUCGACCAAUAGUAAUGGAUGGUGAAAAUACAUUAGUCUACUCUGCCAAUUAGACCAUGGACCUUUCAGUUUUGGCAACUUACAAUAUAAAGACAUUUAAAAAACUGUACAUACUAAAAUUUAAGAAAAGAAGACAAAGGUUAAAUAGCUAUUUUGUGCUCAAAUUUAAUGGAAAGAACAUACUUAAAACCAAGAAUGUGCUUCUGUAAAAUACUGCUGCCUUCUGAUCUCUUGUAAUGGAUUGAGUAAAUAAUAUACAGUGCAACCUCGACAGAGCGGCCCUCUCUACAGCAAAAACCUCUCCACAACAGCAUCAUCAAAAUUUCCCAUAGCCGAAACUUACUAUCAAUUUAACCUCUAUAGAGCAACAACCUCUCAACAGAGGUCAAUAUCUGCAUCUCCCAAAGGGUGUUGCUCUGCAAAGGUUGCACUGUAUAUUAAAGAAUCUGCAUAAUGUGAAAAUUAAUUUACACCAUUUUUACACUGCAUAUGUUUGCAUUUAUGUUGAAAUGUUAUCAUUUUUGAAAAUGUAUUUUGUACCUUUUGGAUAUUUUUUUUCCCAUCUGUCAUGUAACUUUUGGACUGUUAAGAAAUAAUGCUCAUUAUAUUUCACUGACAAUAUUAUUAUUUUUGUUACUUUUUAAAAAUGCGAGAUUGUGUGUUAUUUUUAUACAUGGUUUUCUUGCAUACCAGACGGGGAUUUCCAGUAUUUUUACCAGUGCUGGAAAAAUCCAUCUUACACCCCGGGGUGUAAGAUGAUUCUUGUGCUUUAAAUGACGUAUUACGAACUAUAUAUAUG